UACAGGGGGUGCAAACGUUGCUCGGAAUCAUUGGGCGUAAAGCGCACGUAGGCGGUCUGUUAUGUCGGAUGUGAAAGCCCUUGGCUCAACUGAGGAAGUGCAUCCGAAACUGGCAGGCUAGAGUACUAAAGAGGGUCGCGGAAUUCCCGGUGUAGAGGUGAAAUGCGUAGAGAUCCGGAGGAACCCCAGAGGCGAAGGCGGCGUCCUGGCUCACAACUGACGCUCAUACACGACAGCAUGGGGAGCGAACGGG
rnacentral:rRNA from 1 species